UAGCUGUUGUCUAUCGAUAGCGUUUUCUUUAUGGUUACAAUUAUGCAAAAUUGCGAAGCGAGCACCAUUGAGUGCGAGUCAAGUAUUGUGAGAGCUCACGCUUUUUACUGAUCUAGUACCUCAUGAAGCUUGUCUUAGCCUUCGCCGAUAUGGACACGAAAUUAUACAGAAAAAUUUAUAGAUCAGUUUAGCAUGAUUAUCAUCGGGAUCCAACGACUGUACUGGCAGUCUUUUUUCAAUGAGUAUACAUAACAAUUCUGCGACUCAUGUUAGGUUUUUUUCCAGCUAGCUUUUCGAUAUUCGAUUAUCCCGAUUAAACACAAAACUGGUGGAACGUUCCACACCGAAUAAGAAGCAGCCCCCUUUUUUUUUUUUUUAUUUUUACAAAGCUGCUCAGCUCUGAGAGAAGGACAUUGCUGCUUUGAAAACUACGAUUGAUUUUUAGAAUUUUCGUACGCACAUCUAUUUAAGGCACAAAUAAUAAUAUGCCCUAUGGUUUAUCUGUAUGGAGCAGUCUUUUUCCCUUUCAGUGCACGUAGCUGUAUCGGUACAGGUAGGAACGCAAUACCACUAGAUGAUUUAAUGCAAUAACGUUCCAAAUUUACGCACAGUUUUGUCAUUUACAAUAGUCACGUUUAUAAUAUACUAUAAUUCCAAACAAAAAGAACAGUGACAGGUUACGGGUAACGACAUGGUGCUAUUAUUCAGACGUAAAUAGAUGUACAAAUUUAUGGUAAACCUCUAGGAAUAGAUAUAUGUCUAUUUCUAGAGGCUUAUCAUAAAUUUCAAAAACACUUGUGAUUGCUUUGGGACGUAUAACAACGCUAAGUGCCAAUAUUAUCCAGUUAGCGUUUCCGUGACAGAUUGUUCUUUAAGAAUAAGUGGAAGUUCGUCGAAGUUAUUACCUUAGACUUCGUGGUAGUGAAGCCAGCGCCGUCUGAUCGGUAACGUCAGAACUACUAAAGUAAAUGGCUCAUAGCGGGCUAAACUUGACUAUUUUCUACCGUCCGUGUGUUGCUGUCGGUAUGAUAGUAGCUAGCAUAAAAUUACCUUCGAAUGACUUCAUCCAAUGAUGCGAGGACUUUCUAAACUCCUGCUAAACAUUUUAGCCUUAGGAACGUCUGAAUGGUUAAAUCUAACGAGCCCUAUAUGAAUGUAUUUUUUCCAGGAUGCAUGUAUUUCAUACAAUCCUAUACUUGUUGGAUAUGAAAAGUUAGAUAUAACUAUAAAUUGGGUGGUUAGCUCCAUUGUCAGCAUCUGUUAAUUUAGCAAGGUAUCAUGUUUUAUGGCUUAACCUCCGUUUCAUAAAUAUUGUCUGGAGAAUCCAUAAGUUUCUUUACCUCUAAUACACAUUAUCAAACAGACAAUCAAUGGAUUAUUUGACUCCUUGCAAACCGAAUGAUACAGUGGUAAAUUAAUUAUACACGGAUAAAAUUCUAUCGUUCACUGUCUCGUUUGCUUGCCACUUCCGGCCGUCCGAUUUCGGUUUCCAAAUAAAAGUUCAAUAUGAACUUCCGAGCAUAUACAAACACUGUGGAACACACAGGACAUAUAUGUCAUGAUAUCCUCAUUAGGUCGUAUAUAUAUUUAUUAGCAUAUUUGAUCGUAAGAGCUAACAGCUUAAAUCUGCUACUACAGCCUUGAAGCUUAACAGACGUAAACUCAGUGAAAUGAAAUUCGUAUUGUCUUUGAGCUGUGGCACGCAUGCAUACAAGGUUUCCCGUGAUCCUUGAUUCAAAUUUUAAUCAUAUAAUAUGGGAUUUCUCACCGUCCCGUUAUGAUUUGGGCUAUCAAACCUGGGUCAUCUCAUACCAUGAUGAUUUAUCCUCUUGAUAGUUCACAAUGCCAGAAGAGCCAACUAUACUGUUAAAAGCAAUCGUUGCCGGAGCUUAAAACUUGAUAGCAUUAGCAUAUGUUAUUUCAGAACGAAUCGCCAUGGCAUGAACUAGCUGGCUAGCGUUUUGUUUGUUAUUUCCAAGGCUAACGGCACAGGAGAAGCGAGCUGUUCCUGGUGGCCGAAAAGGCCAAUCAGUCGUCUCGAACUUCCGAAAUAAACUAUCAGUAACGAUCAGGGCUUUAUCAACAGGUACCUGCUACUAUAUACCGCUAAAUAAAAAUCCUCCAUCUUAUACAUUCUACCGAGGGUAAGUACAGCCUCACAGAGAGUGUGUGUCUACGUGAAACGUACUGACUAUAGAUUCUACAGUUCAGUAAGAUAACUCGAUAAGCCUGCCCGCCUGUCUGCCUGCUUGCAGAUUAACUUGACCGCUCUAGUAUCUUGUUUCCUAAGUUCUACGCAUUUCUACGGACUUCCGCAAAGAGAAAUAUGAAUUUAGAGACAAAUUGUUCUUCCUGCUAUUUUGUAAAUCGUUUCUCGCGAGAUUCGAAAUGGGCGUGUAAUACCGAUACGUAAGCACAGCCCAUAUAACGGAUUAUGCCCUGACAGUAUUCGAUAGCAUUUCAGUUCAAGUAGAAGUUCGGCUAUCUAUCUAAGUUGUCAUAUCGUUUUAUAAAUCGAUGUCUCACUAGGCGGAUUGAUGCUAAAGCAUGUAAAAUUAUAAAUAUCCAAUGCUAUUUCUAUAUCGACAAGCAGACAUGACUAUCUAAAACCGCGUUCGCCACAUCCUGCUGAAAACCCUGUUCUAAUCAGUUAAAUAGCUGAACCGGGUCAGCCUAAGGCCACUGGCACCUUUCUUUUCCUGUUUACUCGACAAGGAGAAGCAACUCGUUUACUCUAUUGUUAGGAUAUACUCAUUCCCGAAAGGGUGCAAACGCGGCUGGACGUUGUUUGCUUCCACCGUCUGCUGUCAGUUGUAUCGUGAAGACCGAUUAGAUAAAAUUAAUGUUUGUAGUAGUUCAGGUCCUGCUCCGCUCUUCUUUCUCCACUGAAGCUGUUAGUUUUUUUUUUUUAAUGUCUUGCAUGUAAAUCGCUAGGCUCAGAACAGUCUGGCGAUGGCACGAAAUUACUGGGUUUGGCCGCGGCAACGAGACCCGACUGCUUACAUCAUAUGAGCAUAUGAAACUAAAAGUAAUGUGGUCGUGAAUUAUUCAAGUUGGAAGCAAAACAUCAGUGUUUAAUGGCUCACGUACUGCAACAGCAGACCAUACAUAUACGUCGAAUGUUAUAAAACGCUAUGAACUGAGCUUAUCUGCUUUGAUCCCGCUUAGGAGCGAACAGAAACACAGGUCAUGUGUGCUCGGAAUGUUCAGAAAUACGGCGGACAUGUGACACGGUUUACAUUAAGGAUGGUCUAAUCUGUGACGAUGUUAGUCAUCACCGCGUUUGCAUUGUUUUUUAUAGCCGUCAUUAUUAACAUUCGCCACUGCUAUAGAUCAAUCUGGCUCUGUAAACCUCACUAAUUCUAUUACUAUUCUAUUAUUAUUAAUGAAUGACUGAGUUACUUUUCUUUGCCCCGUUUCGAUGAUUUAACGUGAGAGCUUUCAAUAAAAUUACGCUAAACAUCUUCACCCCUUGGAAGAAGAAAAUUAGCCAGUGCUCAGCAGAACCAAUCUGAUUAAGCUGAUUUCGUAGCUCAUUGCUGCUCAUUGCAAGAUGUGUUAUGAAAAGCUAGUAUUAGUAGGAUGGUCUAAUUCGAAAAAAAAAUAUGCAAAGCAUCAACUUUGAUCAGAUUUUUCUCACAGGUGCACGCAGUUUUACACUGACCUUUAGGGAAUCGUUUAACCUUAUCUCAUCUCUAAACAGCCUAUGUACAUAGCCAAUUAAUAAAGUUCUACAGGCAACUCAGUGGUAAGAAGUCGACUGAUGCUCCUGUCCGAAACCUGCAGCGGACAUUGUUCUAAACGAUUGAUGUUAUUAAAUCAAACUUUUCAUUGGCGUGUCGGUGACAAAAACAAUGGUGACGACGUGCGCCUUUCGGCGGCUAAACACGUAUUUUAUUAUAUGCUCUACUUGAUACGGGAUCAAGACUCAAGGACCCGUACAUUUAACCUGCAACUGUAUUUCCACUCACUCAAAUCUGCAUCACUGUUUGGUCAUCUGGUUUUUCGUCAUUUGAUUGCUUUAAUCUGGUGGCAGUUCCGUGCCUAUGCUUGACAAUCUCGUCACUCUAGCUGAGUCAUGAAAAUAUGGAUCAAUAGAGCUUAACUCACUCCGUGACGAAAUUACGACGAGGUUGGACGUCGAUUCUCUGACUAUUUCAUUUUAGCAAUACAUUUUUUCGAACACUUUAUUGGACGGCUCGUAGUAGACGCAUGGCAAGCCGUCCAGAACUUUGCUGAGGAUACGAUACAUCUGACAGAGCAAAAGGGCUCAGCCAUUAGCAGCCCAAGUGGAAAUAGUCUGUGCCCGGUUCACGGUUAAUUUGAUGCUGAUAUGAAAAAAAUCAAUGGCGGAAAUCUAAAACACAUGUAUUCUACGGAUAGCUAAAUAUCUCCCAUAUUCUCCUUAUAUCGGCGACUGGCUGCCUAGUUGAAUCAAGUGUACCUUAGUGCCUGUUGUUAAACGUUUCUGGAUAUAUUAGCCUCAGCAUGGAUAAAGUUGAGUAUGAACUCAAGCCGGUGCUUUCAGUACGACGAGAUAUUAAAAUUGGGCUUGAGCGUCUAAGAUCAUACCAUCCUCUAUGGAAACUCACGAAUAGAAUAAGCUCACAGAUAGAACACGCAUCAGAUCGUUAGGCGAGCACGAGAUCGAAACAAGUUCGUUGGAUGCAAAGGAGAUGUGCCCGUCUCUGGCAGACUGCUUCUAUCGACGGCUUUCUCGACGCGAGCUAAGAGACCUCCUUUGGGCCACUCAGUCCUCUGAUACGUGUCCGUUCGUCGUACUGAUCGUGCUCAUAGAAGCCAACUCGAAAUUAAGGCAAUUAAGGCGAACAUUUAUUGCUCGGACGGACGCGGAUCUGGCGGAGUUUUGUGAAGUUGUAGCUGAGACUGUUGCCAAGCAAAUGCAAUCCAAUGAACACUCUAAACAGAUUUCCGCACGAAAGUUUCCUGUAGAAAAUAGAUUUAUUAAUAAUAGAAAGAAAAGUAGCCAGGAGAAUACCGAGGAGGACGCAGACCUUUCGACAACCCAGGUGACUGAAGAUCGACGUGUGCAUCUUAUAUUUAGCGAUCAUCCCUAUUGUCUAUGGAAGCCGUGCCUGAACGUCCUCGAAGGUCUUCUUCGAAUGCGGGGCAGCCUCGUGGUCCAGCAUCGAUUUUCACGGACUUGGAUAAAACGUGUUGAAUGUAUCUAGAUAUGAUUUUUUUCAUCUUAAAUACAGUGUUUACAGCAGCAAUGACUUUGUUCGUCAGGUUGAAAGGUCAGAACAAAUUGUUUUUGUCUGUAGCUGAAGUAGUUCCAGUUUUUUCUACUGCGGCCGGUCUGACUAAGCAACAACCGCGCCGAAAAGUAAUUUCCUUCGUCUAUAGGCGUUCAGAGCGUUUACGGAGUACGUUCAGGGCAAAGCAUCAAAGCUGUUAUCCGGAUAGCGCGCAUAUAGGCCAACGUACAUGGACGUAAAUUGGCAGUGGUUGACGUGAUACGGGACCAUAAAAGCAUGCAGCCGUAUACGAGCCAUUGCAUAACCUAUUUCCAUUGGUGAAUAUUAUAGUUAAAUUUUGGCUUUGUAUUUGGAAUCUAGAAACUUAAUAAACUAUCAUGGUUGAACGCGGCUUUGUCAAGGCAGACCGAACAAGA